rnacentral:rRNA from 1 species
AUGGUGUCAUGGCUUGCAAAGUCGCAAUCACGAAGGGAAUGUUCUGCUGGCUGCUGCUCUAAACAUCUAAAUCUUCGAAAAUACGUUUUUUUGGUCAUACAACUUGUCAUUUGGUUCAAAUACAGUCACUCUGUUCCAGGCAUGCGUAUUCAGCAUGCAUGGGUCCACUGUCAGCGACCUGCACUGUUUCAUGCCGACAUGCUCGCGGCUUUUUUGCCCAAACCCCCCCUCGAAUCUUGUCUAUUUGUGGCUGCCGCGUGUCUCCUAACCGCUUCAUCUCCUGACCAUUCCGAGGCGGAUACGGAGGCGUCGGAGGCGGUGUGUCAAGGCGACCGUCAUCGGAGGAGAUGGACGACCCGCGUCGUCGACGUCCGAGUGAAGCAGCGCCGUCAUAUGUGUUAA